GACGAACGCUGGCGGCGUGCUUAACACAUGCAAGUCGAACGGAAAGGCCCUGCUUUUGUGGGGUGCUCGAGUGGCGAACGGGUGAGUAACACGUGAGUAACCUGCCCUUGACUUUGGGAUAACUUCAGGAAACUGGGGCUAAUACCGGAUAGGAGCUCCUGCUGCAUGGUGGUGGUUGGAAAGUUUCGGCGGUUGGGGAUUGACUCGCGGCUUAUCAGCUUGUUGGUGGGGUAGUGGCUUACCAAGGCUUUGACGGGUAGCCGGCCUGAGAGGGUGACCGGCGACAUGGGGACUGAGAUAGGGCCCAGACUCGUACGGGAGGCAGCAGUGGGGAAUAUUGCACAAUGGGCGGAAGCCUGAUGAAGAAAAGCCGCGUGCGGGAUGACGGCCUUCGGGUUGUAAACAGCAUGCGACUGAGACGAAGCGGGAGUGACGGUAAUGGGUAAAGAAGCACCGGCUAACUACGUG
rnacentral:rRNA from 1 species